rnacentral:rRNA from 1 species
CAGCAGCCGCGGGAAUACGAAGGGGGCUAGCGUUGCUCGGAAUUACUGGGCGUAAAGGGAGCGUAGGCGGACAUUUAAGUCAGGGGUGAAAUCCCAGAGCUCAACUCUGGAACUGCCUUUGAUACUGGGUGUCUUGAGUGUGAUAGAGGUAUGUGGAACUCCGAGUGUAGAGGUGAAAUUCGUAGAUAUUCGGAAGAACACCAGUGGCGAAGGCGACAUACUGGAUCAUUACUGACGCUGAGGCUCGAAAGCGUGGGGAGCAAACAGGAUUAGAUACCCCAGUAGUCCCUGUCUCUUAUAC